AGAGGUUCGAAGGCGAUCAGAUACCGCCCUAGUUCUAACCGUAAACUAUGCCUACUAGAUGUAUGAAUUAUUAGUUAUAAUAAUUUAUGCAUCUUCUCGGAAACGAAAGUCUUUCGGUUCCGGGGGAAGUAUGGUUGCAAAGCUGAAACUUAAAGGAAUUGACGGAAGGGCACCACCAGGAGUGGAGCCUGCGGCUUAAUUUGACUCAACACGGGAAAACUCACCCGGGCCGGACACUAUAAGGAUUGACAGAUUGAUAGCUCUUUCAUGAUUUAGUGGUUGGUGGUGCAUGGCCGUUCUUAGUUCGUGGAUAUGAUUUGUCUGGUUGAUUCCGAUAACGAGCGAGACUUUUAUGUUAUAUUAAAUAUUAUUAUUUUGUUUAUUUUAAUAUAAAUAAUUAAUAUUUUAAUAACAGAUUAAUAGUGUUUAACUAUUUGAGAGAGAGCGAUAACAGGUCUGUGAUGCCCUUAGAUGUCCGGGGCUGCACGCGCGCUACAAUGUAGUGAUCAUUAUGUUCCUGUUUAGAGAUAAAUGGGUAAACAUUGAAAACAUUACGUAACUGGGAGUGAAAAUUGCAAUUAUUUUUCAUGAACGAGGAAUUCCAAGUAAACGUAAGUCAUUAGCUUACAUUGAUUACGU
rnacentral:rRNA from 1 species